rfam:Musa acuminata subsp. malaccensis Doubled-haploid Pahang (DH-Pahang) genomic chromosome, chr5
GGUGGGCAAAUGAGGAGUCCGUUAAUUUUAAUGGGUAAUUUGCGUCUGAAGCAUCUUUUGUGAUGUUGCACAUCAUAUCACCUUGGAGAUCUGAUGCCCAAU